rnacentral:tRNA from 1 species
CAGGGAGACAACAAAAUGUUUUUAUUAAUUUUGUCACCUUAGGUCGAUCGGUAUCUCAGAUUCUUAACUUGUUUAAGAAUUUCAAUUCCUAAGUUUUUUCUAGGUCACACCCAUUACUUUUCCUGGGCCAUUAGCUCAGGUGGUUAGAGCGCACCCCUGAUAAGGGUGAGGUCCCUGGUUCAAGUCCAGGAUGGCCCAUAUCUCUAUGUUGGGGGUAUAGCUCAGUUGGUAGAGCGCCUGCUUUGCAAGCAGGAUGUCAGCGGUUCGAGUCCGCUUACCUCCACUGAUUACCACCUCUUCCAUAAUCUGUAGAAAGGAAAUUUUUUGAGUUGUGAUCAACUUCUGAACGAAUCUAGCUUCCUAAUGAAAGCAUUAAGAUGCUGGACUCAUUGAAUUAAUUUCAUUGUUUUCAGAGAACCUUGACAACUGCAUAGAUUUUUUUAAAGACAAUAAGCAUCUUUAAUGAUGCAGAUUUAUUAUUUGUGCGAAUGCAUUAAUAACAAUUCUAUUAAGCUGAUGCUUCAAUUUUGAAGUUAUU